rnacentral:rRNA from 1 species
AGGGCGCGUAGGCGGAUUAUCAAGUCUCUUGUGAAAUCUAAUGGCUUAACCAUUAAACUGCUUGGGAAACUGAUAGUCUAGAGUGAGGGAGAGGCAGAUGGAAUUGGUGGUGUAGGGGUAAAAUCCGUAGAUAUCACCAAGAAUACCCAUUGCGAAGGCGAUCUGCUGGAACUCAACUGACGCUAAGGCGCGAAAGCGUGGGGAGCAAACAGGAUUAGAUACCCUGGUAGUCCACGCCCUAAACGAUGUACACUAGUUGUUGGGAUGCUAGUCAUCUCAGUAAUGCAGCUAACGCAUUAAGUGUACCGCCUGGGGAGUACGGUCGCAAGAUUAAAACUCAAAGGAAUAGACGGGGACCCGCACAAGCGGUGGAGCAUGUGGUUUAAUUCGAAGAUACGCGAAGAACCUUACCUGGGCUUGAUAUCCUAAGAACCUUAUAGAGAUAUGAGGGUGCUAGCUUGCUAGAACUUAGAGACAGGUGCUGCACGGCUGUCGUCAGCUCGUGUCGUGAGAUGUUGGGUUAAGUCCCGCAACGAGCGCAACCCACGUAUUUAGUUGCUAACGGUUCGGCCGAGCACUCUAAAUAGACUGCCUUCGUAAGGAGGAGGAAGGUGUGGACGACGUCAAGUCAUCAUGGCCCUUAUGCCCAGGGCGACACACGUGCUACAAUGGCAUAUACAAUGAGACGCAAUACCGCGAGGUGGAGCAAAUCUAUAAAAUAUGUCCCAGUUCGGAUUGUUCUCUGCAACUCGAGAGCAUGAAGCCGGAAUCGCUAGUAAUCGUAGAUCAGCCAUGCUACGGUGAAUACGUUCCCGGGUC